GAGAAGCAGAUGAGGCAAGUGGGUGAUGUUGCAGGUUUGGGAUUACACUGGUUUUGGAUAUACAAGGUACAAUGCCAGAGACAUUAACAAAGAAAUACUAGGGUGUCAUUGCUAAGAGGAUAUAAAUCAGACAGGAGACCUGCAAACUUGACAAUGAUGGCAAUUCUGGAUGGCUUUCAGAAGGCAUAUUCCGUUGAUUUCAGACCACUCAAUGUACCGCGCGCUGCUGCAUUCCAAGGGGCUCAUUAUAUUUCACCAUUGAAAAGGCAAAUAAUCUCGUAUGCAUCUGGUAACCAAGCUUGUACACUCGUUUAAGGAAGGUUUGGAGGAAUGACCCA